UAAGAAAACCAACAUAAAUCCUGCUCGUAAAACAAUCAAGCAUUAGCUAAAAACGCAUCCAAUCCAAAGCUCCCAAACAAAAACCAAAUCUUCAAACCAUUAGACCAAAUAAUAGUUACCUACCUCAAGUCCAGAUAGAGAAACGGAUCCACAAUCUGCCUCCUCCUCAGCCAUACACUAGUCCAACCUCCUCUACAGCAUCAUAGCAGAGGAGACUCUUCUCCCAACUCUCCUAGCUAUAGCAGAGGAUGAAGAAAAUAAGAAGGAGAAGAAAUGGAGUAAAGGAGGUUUCUUGAUGGCGAAGGAGUGAGAAAAGAAUGGAUGUAAUACAUAGGCAUAUAUACCGACGAAGAAUUUC
rnacentral:lncRNA from 1 species